rnacentral:lncRNA from 1 species
CACCUGAGCUGCGGUUCUUCCUGAACUGUGUGGACCUAGCGUUAAGUUGUUGCUUCUUUCAGCUCCACGAGUAUUUUUAAGUAGAUUCAAAGUCCCUCUUGUGAAUGAAUCAUGAACUCAGCAAACGUCAGAAGAGCCUAAAACUCAUCAAUUGGUAAAUAUCAUUUGUGCAGUGUUUAAGAGGGCAGAUAACUUGCCUCCUCAUACAACCCUCAUGCAGAUGAGAAGUAGGUAAUUAAGUCCAUCUUAGCCAUCUCCUCCCAACUCCUUUAUUCUUCCUCGUGAGGAUCUGCAGUCUCAGUCUUUGAUCUUUCUUUGCUCUGUCCUGAAGUUUCCCCGGCCAUGGAAGGAGUCUUGAGCAGAGUGUGAGAAUGGCCAGGUGGCGGAAGUGUCUGAGAAGAUCCUGCAUCGAUCCAGAAGCAGUGGGAUAAGGAAGGAGCACUGGAUGGAAGUCAGGUGUCCUGGGGCCCAGCGCUGGCCCUGCCACACAUGGUGUGGAAGCAGAACCCUGCUGCCCGUGUCUGGGUGGGCGAGAGACUGGGGAAACACGGCCAGGAAGCAGCCCGGCAGAUGGGGGCUGAGCGCACUGGCAGGGGCAGGAGGAGCUGCAGAUCUUUUCUCAGUUGAGCUUCAGAUGAGACCACAGCCCCAGCCAGCUUCUUAAGUGCAGCCUCAUAAGAAACCGUAAGCAGAGAACCAAGAUAAACCAUGCCUGAACUCCUGAUCCACAGAAACUGUGAAAUAGAUCUGCCUGGAACCUGCCGGCCCCCUGCAGCUGGCUUCUUAAAUGCCUGCAGCUGGUGCAAGCCUCUCACUCCAAGAUGUUUCCACCCCAGACACAUCCCAGAGCCCCCUGCAUCUCCUGGGAGGACGAGGAUGGAUGGAAGCGUGCUGCCAACGCUGGGACACCUGCUUGCUUUCUGGGCAGUGGCCAGGAAAUCGCAUCUGCUGCCAGAAGAGAGCACCUGCACAUCCCGGAGAAGGGAAGGGGACAGAGCCGUGUGAUUCUAGCAGAGGAACACCCAUAGGAUUCCUUCUGUUGUUCCCAAGGUCCAGGCUCCCAGGCUGAGUAGGCAGGAAGGAGAAUGUGUCUUCACACAGGAAGCCUCACUGCCCAGAACAUGGGACAGAUCUAGCUGGAGCUGUGCUCAAACAGCUGUGGAGGCAUUAUAAAUCUCUCUCCCCGAGAUGAGGUUCAGAGGCUCUUGACAUGCCCUGCUAAUGGUAAAUCUUCCAGUGCCCACAGAGCAAGCCCUGGACUCUUAGAGCAUCAAGGUGAGACUGCCUGCCCCCCUUAAGCCUGUUAAUGGCAUCAGUGAUGUAUUCCCCUCCAAAUGUGGAAGGCUGCCUCUUUCUUCAUUGGAAGCAUCAAGGGAGUUUUAACUGUAAAACAGACUGUGCUUCAAAUCCCAUCUAAAUGCCUCAUCCUGAAGCUCUGACCUGCCACUUUUCUGCAAAUGACACUGGGUGAUUUGAAUGGGAUUAGAUUGGACAGUGGCCCCUGGCUGUUGUUUAAGUUUGUGUGGGUUUUGUUGUUUGUUUGUUUUAAUGCAACCUGUCUUUAAAUCUUCACUUUCAAAAAAAAAAAAAAGUGGUCAUUAGCCUUAUUUUUUAUUUAGAGGAUGUGAAGUCAGAAGUUCCCUUCCCUGAUUUAUUACCUCAUAGGUUUAUGACUUUGAAGAAUCAUUUCAUCUCUUUUAGUUUCCUCAUCUGUAGAAAGGUGAUUGUAAACUCUUUCUUAUCGGCUGGAUACAAAGAUGAAAUGAGAUAUCCU